CCCCGCCCGGGGACGAGGAGCGGGCAUCAGGCACAAAUUUUUAGCCCAAAACGCCUAGCCAAGCCACACCCCCAAGGGUAUUCAGCAGUGAUAAAUAUUAAGCUAUGAGUGAAAACUUGACUUAGUCAGGGUUAAGAGGGCCGGUAAAACUCGUGCCAGCCACCGCGGUUAAACGAGAGGCCCUAGUUGAUAAUGCAACGGCGUAAAGGGUGGUUAGGGAGAGCGAUAGGAUAAAGCCGAAUGGCCCCUUGGCCGUCAUACGCAUCUAGGUGUCCGAAGCCCAAUAUACGAAAGUAGCUUUAAGAAAGCCCACCUGACGCCACGAAAGCUGAGAAACAAACUGGGAUUAGAUACCCCACUAUGCUCAGCUAUAAACCUAGACAUCCAACUACAAUUAGAUGUCCGCCCGGGUACUACGAGCAUCAGCUUGAAACCCAAAGGACCUGACGGUGCCUUAGACCCCCCUAGAGGAGCCUGUUCUAGAACCGAUAACCCCCGUUAAACCUCACCACUUCUAGUCACCCCA
rnacentral:rRNA from 1 species